AUCACUUCUCGGCCUUUUGGCUAAGAUCAAGUGUAGAAUGUGCUCUGUAGGAGGUUUCCUACAUGGACACACUCUGGUCUCACCUGUCUCCGUAAUCAGGAACCCAGUCUAUUUCUCUCUUACCACAGAGGUCUGUGGGAUUUAUGGGGUUAAUAAAGGAUGCAGCUUUUACACUUUUUAGAAAUCACAAAGUCC